CUUAAAAUAGGUUGAAAUAUGAAAGAAUAUUUUCUUAUAAAAAAUAAAUAAAAAAGGGGGAAUCCGCGGCACACGUGUCUGCAAUUGUAAUCGCUUUUAUGAUAAUUUAAGUAUCAAUAUUCGUUUUUUUUUUAAACAAGUUAUAUCUUUAAAAAACAUAUCCGACGCAUUUUUGAUGUAUUAAAGCAAGUAUAUGAAGUUAAAAUCCAAC
rnacentral:lncRNA from 1 species